UUCAUAGUCUAAAUAUAUCCCAUGCAAUAUUUGGGACAUACUGGGACUAAAA
rnacentral:pre_miRNA from 1 species